AGCGAACGCUGGCGGCAGGCCUAACACAUGCAAGUCGAACGAACCUUUCGGGGUUAGUGGCGGACGGGUGAGUAACACGUGGGAACGUGCCUUUAGGUUCGGAAUAACUCAGGGAAACUUGUGCUAAUACCGAAUGUGCCCUUCGGGGGAAAGAUUAAUCGCCCUUAGAGCGGCCCGCGUCUGAUUAGCUAGUUGGUUGAGGUAAUGGCUCACCAAGGCGACGAUCAGUAGCUGGUCUGAGAGGAUGAUCAGCCACAUUGGGACUGAGACACGGCCCAAACUCCUACGGGAGGCAGCAGUGGGGAAUCUUGCGCAAUGGGCGAAAGCCUGACGCAGCCAUGCCGCGUGAAUGAUGAAGGUCUUAGGAUUGUAAAAUUCUUUCACCGGGGACGAUAAUGACGGUACCCGGAGAAGAAGCCCCGGCUAACUUCGU
rnacentral:rRNA from 1 species